rnacentral:tRNA from 1 species
GGGGAUAUAGCUUGGUGGCAGAAGUGCCUGCCUGGUAAGUGCAAGGUCCUGAGUUCAAUUCUCCGUACUCCCU